rnacentral:lncRNA from 1 species
UGGCCAAUCAGGACGCAGGUAGCUCUAAAGGUCAAGGUAACAAACCUCUCCCAGGACCAUUCACAGACCUCGUCUUACCCUCCCCACAAAACCUGGCAGCCAGCGCUUAAUGUGAUUUCCCUGCUGUCUUCCGACGACUGGAGCAUACAAAGCUGAUAGUGGAUGUCUUGGAGUUGAAGCAAAGCAGACCUGAAUGAGUCCCGACUCCAACUUCAUUGUCUGUGUAACUUGGGCACACAGAAAAUACGGGCAAUGAGGGUUGCUGUGAAGAUCAAAUGUGAUCAUGUGUCUGAAGAGCUCGGCUCGCAGGUGCUUGGGGAGCUCCAGUCAAACUGGUUUUCACAUUCAGAAGCUGGAAUGGUGUUUAGCAAAGCCAUUGAAGAAGCAAGAAGAGAAGAAGGGAUGGGAGAACCCCAGGCCCACCUCCUUCUGGCUAUGUGUGGAUACAUGAGAUGAGCAGCUUUGCCCUAUCAGAUGCCACUCACAUGAGGCUCUGCCUUGCCCCAGCCCUAAAAACAACAAGGCAAGUGGCCAUGGACUGAAACCUCUGAAACUACAAGCCACAUUAAACCUAUCUUCCUUUUAAAUUGAUUGUCUCAGAGAUUUUGUCACACUGAUGCAAAGCUGACUGACACAGGCUGUGCAUAGGUCUCUAAGUACUGGAAGCACACACUCUCAGACACACUGCUUGUUGUUGAUUUAGAAUCUCUAAGGUGAGUUCAGGAGGCAGGGUUUUUAUCAGUCAUUCAAGGACACAUAUUUUGGACAGACAGGAGCAGGUCAUUUCCUAUUGUGUAGGCUGGUGGUGACAGGAAGUGUGUGCUCCUGAAUGUCACGGUGGCAUGUUGGAAAUCAACCCUGAAGGGGCCACCUGGGCAGGAAGUGUCCCCAGCUCACAUCUGUCUGUUAAGCGCAUUGGGUCAGGCUUAGAGAAUUUGUUUCCAGAAACUUCGUUGGGCCCAGCUAGAGGGGCAUCGAUGUGGACAGCUGACACCCACUAGGCUGAGGGGAAGAGCAGACAAGAGUGAGGAGGGGCUGCAUUAUCUGCAUGGGCACCAGAGGGAGAGGCUUAGUCAGCAGGCUUUCAUUCCUCCCAGUCCUGGAGGCGGGAAGUCCAGGCUCAGCAGGGUUGUUUUUCUGAGGCCUCUCCUUGUGUGGAUGGCCGUGCUCUCUGUGUGUGUUUGUGUCUUAUUCUGAAAACAUACCAGUCAUGUUGGAUUAGGGUGAGAGUUCAUUUCAACUUAAUCACUCCUUCAGAGGUCCUAUGUCCCAAAAUAGGCACAUCCUGCGAUAUUAGAAAUUAACA